UACCGGAAACGGUGGCUAAUACCGGAUAUGACUACCUUCGUGGCAGUCGGGGGUGUGGAAAGUUUUUUCGGCCAGGGAUGUGCUCGCGGCCUAUCAGCUUGUUGGUGGGGUAAUGGCCUACCAAGGCUUCGACGGGUAGCCGGCCUGAGAGGGUGACCGGCCACACUGGGACUGAGACACGGCCCAGACUCCUACGGGAGGCAGCAGUGGGGAAUAUUGGACAAUGGGCGGAAGCCUGAUCCAGCAACGCCGCGUGAGGGAUGACGGCCUUCGGGUUGUAAACCUCGUUCAGUACCGACGAAGCGCCGAUGAUGGUGGUGACGGUAGGUACAGAAGAAGCACCGGCCAACUACGUG
rnacentral:rRNA from 1 species